AUGGCUGCAAAGUAUAAAUUCUUAAAAAUCUAAAACAAUUAUCUCCAACCAACUUAGUGUUCAAUUAUAUGGAGUAAGAGUGCAGAGCAACAUCUAAAAGUUUAAUAUCAGUUUGUACGGGCUAUUGGGUCUAGAGCUGCUAUUAAUCUUCUAUAUGAUCUCUGGAUUUCUACUAUACCAUUAGCUAUGACACCUUCAUUUAUUAAUAUAAAUAUUAUUUAUGAACAAUGGA
rnacentral:lncRNA from 1 species